rnacentral:rRNA from 2 species
GCUCAGGACGAACGCUGGCGGCGUGCCUAAUACAUGCAAGUCGAGCGACGAUCGAUGGGAGCUUGCUCCCUGAGAUUAGCGGCGGACGGGUGAGUAACACGUGGGCAACCUGCCUAUAAGACUGGGAUAACUUCGGGAAACCGGAGCUAAUACCGGAUACGUUCUUUUCUCGCAUGAGAGAAGAUGGAAAGACGGUUUACGCUGUCACUUAUAGAUGGGCCCGCGGCGCAUUAGCUAGUUGGUGAGGUAAUGGCUCACCAAGGCGACGAUGCGUAGCCGACCUGAGAGGGUGAUCGGCCACACUGGGACUGAGACACGGCCCAGACUCCUACGGGAGGCAGCAGUAGGGAAUCUUCCGCAAUGGACGAAAGUCUGACGGAGCAACGCCGCGUGAACGAAGAAGGCCUUCGGGUCGUAAAGUUCUGUUGUUAGGGAAGAACAAGUACCAGAGUAACUGCUGGUACCUUGACGGUACCUAACCAGAAAGCCACGGCUAACUACGUG